ACUUUCUUUAAUGAAAGCCUUAUUUUUGUUCCUGAUAUUGAAUAAAACAUUUGAUUGGCACUGUUAAUUUUAAUUUUCAUUGGCCUGGUUGUUCUAGUUUAAGAAGUUGUAACAUAUGUGAUUCAAUACUUCUUUUCUUGCUUUUAAGUUGCUUGGUCAUUAUAUCAUUUCUAGCAACUGAAUUAGUUUUUGCAUUCUUUGUUUUUAAGUUGCUUAGCCAUUAUAUCACUUCUGGCAACUGAAUACCAGUGUCUUGUUUAUCAAUCAAUUGGUACUCAUGGGAAUAUUAUGCAUCUUGAGGUACCAAUCGAUUUGGCAUUUUGUUAUUGGGUAGAGGUUCCACUGAAAUCCCAAGAAAUUUAAAAUACAAGAAAUAAAAAAGGAAGACUUUUCUUCAGGA